rnacentral:rRNA from 1 species
UGGGGAAUUUUGGACAAUGGGGGAAACCCUGAUCCAGCCAUCCCGCGUGUGCGAUGAAGGCCUUCGGGUUGUAAAGCACUUUUGGCAGGAAAGAAACGUCAUGGGUUAAUACCCCGUGAAACUGACGGUACCGGCAGAAUAAGCACCGGCUAACUACGUGCCAGCAGCCGCGGUAAUACGUAGGGUGCAAGCGUUAAUCGGAAUUACCGGGCGUAAAGCGUGCGCAGGCGGUUCGGAAAGAAAGAUGUGAAAUCCCAGAGCUCAACUUUGGAACUGCAUUUUUAACUACCGGGCUAGAGUGUGUCAGAGGGAGGUGGAAUUCCGCGUGUAGCAGUGAAAUGCGUAGAUAUGCGGAGGAACACCGAUGGCGAAGGCAGCCUCCUGGGAUAACACUGACGCUCAUGCACGAAAGCGUGGGGAGCAAACAGG